rnacentral:tRNA from 1 species
GGGGCAAUGGCGCAUCUGGGAGCGCGUCAGACUGAAGUUCCAACUUCGGCCGCAGGACUCUGUCCAGUAAUCUGAAGGUGGCCGGUUCAAGCCCGGCUUGCCCCA